UGAUCCGGCGGCUACUAGAGAUAGGUGGUUCCCUUCGGGGACGCAGAGACAGGUGGUGCAUGGCUGUCGUCAGCUCGUGUCGUGAGAUGUUGGGUUAAGUCCCGCAACGAGCGCAACCCUUGUCUUUAGUUGCCAUCAUUAAGUUGGGCACUCUAAAGAGACUGCCGGUGACAAACCGGAGGAAGGUGGGGAUGACGUCAAGUCAUCAUGCCCCUUAUGACCUGGGCUACACACGUGCUACAAUGGGCAGUACAACGAGAAGCGAACCCGCGAGGGUAAGCGGAUCUCUUAAAGCUGUUCUCAGUUCGGACUGCAGGCUGCAACUCGCCUGCACGAAGCUGGAAUCGCUAGUAAUCGCGGAUCAGCACGCCGCGGUGAAUACGUUCCCGGGUCUUGUACACACCG
rnacentral:rRNA from 1 species